rnacentral:snoRNA from 1 species
CUAGCACUCCACAGAUCUCCCCCUUGGCUGGUCCUGACAGAAAGCCCUUGAUUACAUCCUUGCCCUGGUACUGUACCAGUGUCGCUGUCACUCAGUGGGACACAG